rnacentral:rRNA from 1 species
GAUGAACGCUGGCGGCGUGCUUAACACAUGCAAGUCGAACGAAGCACUUUUGAUUCUUCGGAAGAGAAAGUGACUGAGUGGCGGACGGGUGAGUAACGCGUGGGUAACCUGCCUUAUACAGGUGGAUAACAGUUAGAAAUGACUGCUAAUACCGCAUAAGCCGACGAAGUCGCAUGACUUAGUUGGAAAAGAUUUAUCGGUAUAAGAUGGACCCGCGUCUGAUUAGCUAGUUGGUGAGGUAAUGGCUCACCAAGGCGACGAUCAGUAGCCGGCUUGAGAGAGUGAACGGCCACAUUGGGACUGAGACACGGCCCAAACUCCUACGGGAGGCAGCAGUGGGGAAUAUUGCACAAUGGGGGAAACCCUGAUGCAGCAACGCCGCGUGAAGGAAGAAGUAUUUCGGUAUGUAAACUUCUAUCAGCAGGGAAGAAAAUGACGGUACCUGACUAAGAAGCCCCGGCUAACUACGUGCCAGCCGCCGCAGUAACAC